rnacentral:sRNA from 1 species
UGAACCAGCGGAGGGAUCAUUACCGAGUUUACAACUCCCAAACCCCUGUGAACAUACCUUAAUGUUGCCUCGGCGGAUCAGCCCGCGCCCCGUAAAACGGGACGGCCCGCCAGAGGACCCAAACUCUAAUGUUUCUUAUUGUAACUUCUGAGUAAAACAAACAAAUAAAUCAAAACUUUCAACAACGGAUCUCUUGGUUCUGGCAUCGAUGAAGAACGCAGCAAAAUGCGAUAAGUAAUGUGAAUUGCAGAAUUCAGUGAAUCAUCGAAUCUUUGAACGCACAUUGCGCCCGCUGGUAUUCCGGCGGGCAUGCCUGUUCGAGCGUCAUUUCAACCCUCAAGCCCUCGGGUUUGGUGUUGGGGAUCGGCUCUGCCUUCUGGCGGUGCCGCCCCCGAAAUACAUUGGCGGUCUCGCUGCAGCCUCCAUUGCGUAGUACCUAACACCUCGCAACUGGAACGCGGCGCGGCCAUGCCGUAAAACCCCAACUUCUGAAUGUUGACCUCGGAUCAGGUAGGAAUACCCGCUGAACUUAAGCAUAUCAAUAAGCGGAGGCAC